rnacentral:rRNA from 1 species
GUGGGGAAUCUUGCGCAAUGGGCGAAAGCCUGACGCAGCCAUGCCGCGUGAAUGAUGAAGGUCUUAGGAUUGUAAAAUUCUUUCACCGGGGAAGAUAAUGACGGUACCCGGAGAAGAAGCCCCGGCUAACUUCGUGCCAGCAGCCGCGGUAAUACGAAGGGGGCUAGCGUUGCUCGGAAUUACUGGGCGUAACGGGCGCGUAGGCGGACAUUUAAGUCAGAGGUGAAAGCCCAGGGCUCAACCUUGGAAUUGCCUUUGAUACUGGAUGUCUUGAGUUCGGGAGAGGUGAGUGGAAUGCCGAGUGUAGAGGUGAAAUUCGUAGAUAUUCGGCGGAACACCAGUGGCGAAGGCGACUCACUGGCCCGAUACUGACGCUGAGGCGCGAAAGCGUGGGGAGCAAACAGGAUUAGAAACCCUUGUAGUCC